rnacentral:rRNA from 1 species
UGGGGAAUAUUGGACAAUGGGGGCAACCCUGAUCCAGCAAUGCCGCGUGAGUGAAGAAGGCCUUCGGGUUGUAAAGCUCUUUUGUCAGGGAAGAAACGGUAGUAGCGAAUAACUAUUACUAAUGACGGUACCUGAAGAAUAAGCACCGGCUAACUACGUGCCAGCAGCCGCGGUAAUACGUAGGGUGCAAGCGUUAAUCGGAAUUACUGGGCGUAAAGCGUGCGCAGGCGGUUGUGUAAGUCAGAUGUGAAAUCCCCGGGCUCAACCUGGGAAUUGCAUUUGAGACUGCACGGCUAGAGUGUGUCAGAGGGGGGUAGAAUUCCACGUGUAGCAGUGAAAUGCGUAGAUAUGUGGAGGAAUACCGAUGGCGAAGGCAGCCCCCUGGGAUAACACUGACGCUCAUGCACGAAAGCGUGGGGAGCAAACAGGAUUAGAUACCCCAGUAGUCCCUGAGCGGGCUGGCAAGGCGCAU